rnacentral:rRNA from 1 species
CCUACGGGAGGCAGCAGUGAGGAAUAUUGGUCAAUGGACGAGAGUCUGAACCAGCCAAGUAGCGUGAAGGAUGACUGCCCUAUGGGUUGUAAACUUCUUUUAUAAAGGAAUAAAACGAGGCACGUGUGCCUUUUUGCAUGUACUUCAUGAAUAAGGAUCGGCUAAUUCCGUGCCAGCAGCCGCGGUAAUACGGAGGAUCCGAGCGUUAUCCGGAUUUAGUGGGUUUAAAGGGAGCGUAGGUGGAGUGUUAAGUCAGUCGUGAAAGUUUGCGGCUCAACCGUAAAAUUGCAGUUGGAACUGGCAGUCUUGAGUGCAGUAGAGGUAGGCGGAAUUCGUGGUGUAGCGGUGAAAUGCUUAGAUAUCACGAAGAACUCCGAUGGCGAAGGCAGCUCACUGGACUGCAACUGACGCUGAGGCUCGAAAGUGUGGGUAUCAAACAGGAUUAGAUACCCGAGUAGUC